rnacentral:rRNA from 1 species
AGGUGCUGCAUGGCUGUCGUCAGCUCGUGUUGUGAAGUGUUGGGUUAAGUCCCGCAACGAGCGCAACCCUUAUGUUUUGUUGCCAUCGUUGAGGCCGGGAACUCAAAGGAAACUGCCGGGGAUAACCUGAAGAAAGGGGGGAAUAACUUCAAUCCUUCUGGCCCCUUACCACUGGGGCUACCCCCGUGCUACAUGGGCGCAUCCAAGGAGAACGAAUUCGCGGGGUGAGCGGACUUCAUAACCCGUCCUCAUUCCGGAUUGGAGUCUGCAACUCCACUCCUGAAACCGGGAAUCGCUAGUAAUCGUGAAUCAGAAUGUCAC